UGCUUUACACAUGCAAGUCGAACGGUAGGGUAGCAAUACCUGAGAGUGGCGAACGGGUGAGUAAUGCAUCGGAACAUGCCUAUUAGUGGGGGAUAGCCCGGCGAAAGCCGGAUUAAUACCGCAUACGAUCUAUGGAUGAAAGCUGGGGACCGCAAGGCCUGGCGCUAAUAGAGUGGCCGAUGUCAGAUUAGCUAGUUGGUGGGGUAAAGGCUCACCAAGGCGACGAUCUGUAGCUGGUUUGAGAGAACGACCAGCCACACUGGGACUGAGACACGGCCCAGACUCCUACGGGAGGCAGCAGUGGGGAAUUUUGGACAAUGGGCGAAAGCCUGAUCCAGCAAUGCCGCGUGCAGGAUGAAGGCCUUCGGGUUGUAAACUGC
rnacentral:rRNA from 1 species